CUGUUGCUCUUCGCUGCAUACGUGGGAUAAUAGAGCAUCUCGAAAAUUCGAAAUCCACUGCAAAUGCUAUUAUGCAUAUAUGAUCGCUCACUCUUGAUAAGACCGAAGGAACAGUUGCAGAGCUUCUCCAAUAAUUAAUCAUCGUUCAUCAAAUUGUUGUGAUUUUUCAGGAGAUGAUUAAAGGUAAAAGGAGUAACCUGACUGCAGUUCUCAUUUUCUUAGAGAUUCAGGGAGAGAAAGGACAUUAGGAGGCAUGUUGAAGUGAUAACAAGAGGCAGGCUUUCAGACAUCGAAGCUGCUGAAUCACUGGGUCCUGAUGGUUCUGCGCCGAAAAUUGUUGCUCCUGUUGGGUUUGUUGUGUUCAGAAUUGAUGAACUUGUGCUGUAAUUAUGAAAUAUGGAACAAUCGGCUUUGCCAUAUCCACAGGCGUAGUCAAGUGCAACUUGUAAGGCUGGUUGUGAAGCACUCUGGCUUGCGACACACCAACUUCCCCCUGAUGAUGAUGCAGCAGUUGAAGGAUUAUUUGGAUUUGUCAUAGUUGGACUUGUUGGAUUUGUCAUAAUUGGUCCUGUUGGAUUUGUCAUAGUAGGUCCUGGUGGAUUUGAAAGUGGAUUUACAAGUGGACUUGUAUACGUUCCAGGAUUCAUUGGGUUGAUUAAAGGAACUGUUGUGAUUGGAGUUGUGACAUCUUUUUCAGUUGUAGAGGAUUUUGAGUCGACUUUGAAGAUUAAUCGUCGAGAAGAAGCUGAUAAAGGUGCUACAACACCAUAAUCAGAUAACAAAACAUUAUUUGAGGAAACGAGAACGAAAAGAAAAUACCUGAAAAGAAGAGAAGACCCAGGAGAAAGAAGAUGAAACUGUGCAAGACCUUUUUAC